UCUAAAAACCCCCUUUGCCAAAUCUCCUUAAUUAAUUCACUAUGAUCUUCCUAAUCUUCCUCCUAUUUCUUGCCAACAUCAUUCUGGAGAACCCUGUCGUACAACUAUCUCUUCAAGUCUGUCAUCAUCGGCGAUACCGGUUCUAACUCUCAUAGAUGAUCUAAUAUUGGUGUACUUCGAUUAGAGAUCAAGAUCAACAGAAUGAUCAUGUUAGCUACAACUUAAUUACAAGUUAUGCUUGAACUUGAAGACAAAGCCAAGCAACAAGCUCUAGUCCUUGGAGUAGGGCAUGUAAAUUAUAUUCUCAUUCCCUGAUUUUUUGUUAAACCACUGGAUAAAUAUUGUACUACCUUAGCAAAAUUCCUGUCGAAGCUUCAUUUUUCAACUGGGACUGUGAUGGCUGAAAACAGGAAGUUGUCCUAUUCCUUGGGAACUACGCAUAUAUGCACUUUUAUUUUUUUAAUCUUUCUCGCCUUUUGUUAGUUGUAGAAAUCUAAAUAGUGACAUAAGAAAUAAUAGCGCAUUUCCUUUCAGGCAAGUUUUUGCAGCUGUAGGAUUUAUGUCGCCGGCCUCUCGUGGUACACUUAUCACUGGAAUGCUUUUUCCCUACAUGUUCUUAGGGAUUAUUUCUAGAUA